GGGAAAUGGAAAGAGGAGCCAGCUUCAGGCCCCGCAACAAACUGGGGCA
rfam:Papio anubis isolate 1X1155 chromosome 4, whole genome shotgun sequence.